rnacentral:tRNA from 1 species
AGAGAUAGCUGAGUGGACUAAAGCGUCGGGUUGCUAAUCCGUUAUACGAGUUAUUCGUACCGGGGGUUCGAAUCCCUCUCUUUUCG